rnacentral:rRNA from 1 species
AACGAACGCUGGCGGCAGGCUUAACACAUGCAAGUCGAACGCCCCGCAAGGGGAGUGGCAGACGGGUGAGUAACGCGUGGGAACGUGCCCUUCGCUUCGGAAUAGCCCCGGGAAACUGGGAGUAAUACCGAAUACGCCGUAUUGGGAAAGAUUUAUCGGCGAAGGAUCGGCUCGCGUUAGAUUAGGUAGUUGGCGGUGUAAUGGACCACCAAGCCUACGAUCUAUAGCUGGUCUGAGAGGAUGAUCAGCCACACUGGGACUGAGACACGGCCCAGACUCCUACGGGAGGCAGCAGUGGGGAAUCUUGGACAAUGGGCGCAAGCCUGAUCCAGCCAUGCCGCGUGAGUGAAGAAGGCCUUAGGGUUGUAAAACUCUUUCGCCGGAGAAGAUAAUGACGGUAUCCGGAGAAGAAGCCCCGGCUAACUUCGUGCCAGCAGCCGCGGUAAGAC